rnacentral:antisense_RNA from 1 species
GUAAUUAUCCAGUUGAUAUUUAUCUUGUUCCAGUCACCUUAAGAAAGCUGUUUGCUCUCAAAUCUCCUCUAUUGAUUGAUCUGAGUUGGCUGAUGAGUUGGCAGGCAAGGGCAGUGACUGGAAGCUGGGAGAGAGGGUCAAC